rnacentral:rRNA from 1 species
CCUACGGGAGGCAGCAGUGGGGAAUAUUGGACAAUGGGGGCAACCCUGAUCCAGCCAUGCCGCGUGUGUGAAGAAGGCCCUCGGGUUGUAAAGCACUUUCAGUGAGGAAGAACGCCUGGUGGUUAAUACCCAUCAGGAAAGACAUCACUCACAGAAGAAGCACCGGCUCAACUCCGUGCCAGCAGCCGCGGUAAUACGGAGGGUGCGAGCGUUAAUCGGAAUUACUGGGCGUAAAGCGCGCGUAGGUGGCUUGAUAAGCCGGUUGUGAAAGCCCCGGGCUCAACCUGGGAACGGCAUCCGGAACUGUCAAGCUAGAGUGCAGGAGAGGAAGGUAGAAUUCCCGGUGUAGCGGUGAAAUGCGUAGAGAUCGGGAGGAAUACCAGUGGCGAAGGCGGCCUUCUGGACUGACACUGACACUGAGGUGCGAAAGCGUGGGUAGCAAACAGGAUUAGAUACCCCGGUAGUC